CUAACAAGGAUUCCCCUAGUAACGGCGAGUGAAGCGGGAAGAGCUCAAAUUUGUAAUCUGGCGGCCUGUGGUCGUCCGAGUUGUAGUCUGGAGAAGCGUUUUCUGCGUCGGACCGUGUACAAGUCCCUUGGAACAGGGCGUCACAGAGGGUGAGAAUCCCGUCUUUGACACGGACUGCCGGUGCUUUGUGAUGCGCUCUCGAAGAGUCGAGUUGUUUGGGAAUGCAGCUCAAAACGGGUGGUAAAUUCCAUCUAAAGCUAAAUAUUGGCGAAAGACCGAUAGCGAACAAGUACCGUGAGGGAAAGAUGAAAAGCACUUUGGAAAGAGAGUUAAACAGUACGUGAAAUUGUUGAAAGGGAAACGUUUGAAGUCAGUCGCGUCUCCCGGGACUCAGCCUUGCCCUUUCCGGCCUGGUGUACUUCCCUGGGAUGACGGGCCAGCAUCGAUUUUGACCGUCGGAGAAAGGCCUUGGGAACGUGGCACCUUCGGGUGUGUUAUAGCCCUCGGUCGUAUGCGACGGUUGGGAUCGAGGACCGCAGCACGCCGUUUUGUCGGCCGGGGUUCGCCCACGUACCGUGCUUAGGAUGCUGGCGUAAUGGCUUUAAGCGACCCGUCUUG
rnacentral:rRNA from 1 species